rnacentral:SRP_RNA from 2 species
UUUUCAGACCUGUGCAAUGGUUUUUUAAGACAUCGCUUCAGGGUGGGAACACAGCAGAGCACCUUAACUUUCCGUGUGCCACAGCAAAUCUGAGAGAG